rnacentral:rRNA from 1 species
GGGUAAUGGCGUGCCUUUUGUAGAAUGAACCGGCGAGUUGCGUUAGUCAGCAAGGUUAAGUCAGAAAAGACGGAGCCGUAGCGAAAGCGAGUCUGAAGAGGGCGAGCAGUUGGCUGACGCAGACCCGAAACCAAGUGACCUACCCAUGACCAGGUUGAAGGCGCGGUAAAACGCGCUGGAGGACCGAACCCACGUAAGUUGAAAAUUGCGGGGAUGAGUUGUGGGUAGCGGUGAAAUUCCAAACGAACUUGGAGAUAGCUGGUUCUCUCCGAAAUAGCUUUAGGGCUAGCCUCGCAAAGAGGAUGCUGGAGGUAGAGCUCUGUUUGGACUAGGGGCCCGUCAAGGGUUACUGAAUUCAGAUAAACUGCGAAUUCCAGACAUUUAUGUGCGGGAG